CACCUUUUUAAAAUCGCUGACCCGGACGGCAGGUGAGGUUUGUUCAAACAGAAGUUCCUGAUGCAUGCACAAUGUCAUUUUGCAAUGAAGAAUAAUUUGCAGUGCAUGCUGAUUCUAAAUCAGUUAUAGUUAGUGACUAGGGAGACUUGGGUAGGAGUAACGCAAGUAAUGUAGAUGACUUAGGCCUAUUGGAUAUUGGAGGUAUAUAUGAGUACGGAUUAAUCAUACAAGCAAAAAAAAAAAAAA